rnacentral:rRNA from 1 species
AUGAUUAUGGGCCGUGCUGACAGUGAGGACCUGACUGCUGCACAAAUCUUCUAUCCUUGCAUGCAAUGUACUGAUAUGUUUUUCCUGAAGAUGACCAUCGUGCUACACCCGUCCAGGAUACAACACAACGGAGACACAGGCGUAUACGUGCAGCAGGGACCCGUUCCAAGGAUUCUUUUUAGAUUAAGACCCUGCGUAAACCUUUUUUACUGUCUCUUGUUGAUACACAUCCCCCGGAUUCUCAUUACAACUGAGAAGGAUGCUGACGUAUUGGCAUGUGGCCACGUCAGAAUAUUGCAUGUACCUGGACACCAGGGGCUUAUUACAAAGGGCACUGUUUAG